GAAAUGCGAUACGUAAUGUGAAUUGCAGGUGUCUGUGAAUCAUCAAAAUUUUGAACGCAAGUGGCGCUGCCAAAAGCAGCAUACUUGUUCGAGUGUUGGUAACAACAAUACUCACAAAAAAAAUCUUUUUUUUUUUUGUGGUUUUGAGAUGUCUUUUCUCAUUCUCAUUAUUAUUAUGAGAAAAGUCUCUUCAAGUAUAAUGCUAUCACUAAAAAAGUGAGUGAGAGGUAUACCAAACAUAUAUACAUGUAGCCUCCCUCUUUCUCGAAAAAUACUAUGAGAGAUGUUCCUAAGUGCUUUAUGCACAUUUAACAUUUCUCGCAUUUUUCAAUAAUGAGAAAUAGGACAGGUGUAUAUAUGGCUUCACAUUCCAUGAUAGUUAUAGAUCAUCAUCAAGUGAGUGAGUGAUAAAAAAAAAUAAAAUAAAUUCACUUUGAUGUUCACCUAUCAAUGUAAAAAUCAACCUCGAAUCAAGUAAGACUACCCGCUGAACUUAAGC
rnacentral:misc_RNA from 1 species